rnacentral:rRNA from 1 species
ACUCGAGUGGCGAACGGGUGAGUAACACGUGGGUGAUCUGCCCUGUACUUCGGGAUAAGCUUGGGAAACUGGGUCUAAUACCGGAUAGGACAACUUUUUGGAUAUUGUUGUGGAAAGCUUUUGCGGUAUGGGAUGAGCUCGCGGCCUAUCAGCUUGUUGGUGGGGUAAUGGCCUACCAAGGCGUCGACGGGUAGCCGGCCUGAGAGGGUGUACGGCCACAUUGGGACUGAGAUACGGCCCAGACUCCUACGGGAGGCAGCAGUGGGGAAUAUUGCACAAUGGGCGCAAGCCUGAUGCAGCGACGCCGCGUGGGGGAUGAAGGCCUUCGGGUUGUAAACUCCUUUCGCUAGGGACGAAGCAUUUUUGUGACGGUACCUGGAGAAGAAGCACCGGCUAACUACGUGCCAGCAGCCGCGGUAAUACGUAGGGUGCGAGCGUUGUCCGGAAUUACUGGGCGUAAAGAGCUCGUAGGUGGUUUGUCGCGUCGUUUGUGUAAGUCCACAGCUUAACUGUGGGACUGCAGGCGAUACGGGCAUAACUUGAGUGCUGUAGGGGAGACUGGAAUUCCUGGUGUAGCGGUGAAAUGCGCAGAUAUCAGGAGGAACACCGAUGGCGAAGGCAGGUCUCUGGGCAGUAAC